UAGGGAAUCUUCGGCAAUGGGGGCAACCCUGACCGAGCAACGCCGCGUGAGUGAAGAAGGUUUUCGGAUCGUAAAGCUCUGUUGUAAGAGAAGAACGUGUGUGAGAGUGGAAAGUUCACACAGUGACGGUAACUUACCAGAAAGGGACGGCUAGCUACGUGCCAG
rnacentral:rRNA from 1 species